GAAUGGAUUACAGAUAUCCCACCCAAUGUGCAUCUGACCUUACAAGAAUUUGUAUUCCCUGAACACUUGGAUUAUGUAGAGCUGGAUUAUGAUUCUCAGUCUAGCACUGCAACUGUGAGAACCAAAAGGGCACUGGAUGUUGAGGCUCUUGAGGGUGAUAUGGUCUGGUAUUCUAUUGUUUGCCAAAGGAUUGGAACAACUGAUCAGAUAGAGAACGGCCGGAAUGUAAAACUGAUAGAUGUAAACGACAAUGCUCCAGAAUUUCAACAAGCUGAC